CGGAGCGGGACGCGCGCCGCCCCACGUGACUCGAGCACGCGGGAGGGGGAGCCGAGCGUGCGCCGCCGGCCGGCGGCUUCCGGGAUACAACAAGGUUGUUUGCUUACAACAGCAGAAGUUCGGGAACCACCCAGGUGUCCAUCUCUAGGAGGCGAUCUGCAGAGCUUUGACCACGCUAUCAAACACUGCAGCUGUGUACAAAGCAAAGGUCAUGGAAGUGUCCAUGUGCUGAUGUGGAAAGAUGUCUAUGGCCUGUUUUUAAGCAAAAAAAAAGCAACGUGCAGAACAGCAUACAUGCUUUGUCACCUUUUGGGGUGAUGAGGAGGAGGAAUACUGGCUUGUAUUUACAAAAAAACACUGGUGAAUCCCCAAGAAAUGAGUAAUCGUGGAAACCCAAAGGCAGAGACAAGUGGGGCGAGGGCACAGCCCCUGUGUAUAUCUUUUAGUGACAAAGAAUAAAGAUAAAAACAAUACUUUGGGGAAAAGGAAAUAGAAAGUACACAGAAUUAAGCACUCACAGAGAUGUCUUGUUGGAAAGAACAGGAAAAUGGACGGAGACGUGGAUGAAGGAAGAGGCUUCAAAUUUUACUCCAAUUCAUUUGCAUUGGUAACUGAUGAUUGGUAAUGUGACUCAAGAUAAAAAUAAACCAAACGGGGAGGGGUAGGCGUCUCCCCAAGCAGCCAGAUAGCUCAGUUGGUAAGAGCACUAGCCCUGAAAAACAGGGCUGCGGGUACGUUUCCCACAUGGGCCAGUAAGCUGCGCCCUGUACAGCUAAGAUUGUGAACAACGGCUCCACCUGGAGCUGGGCUGCGGGGAGUGGCCAGCAGUCAGUGUGAGAGUGGGCGUGAGCCGCGGCUGUGAGCAGCAACCACCUCAGCCAGGCAAGGUAUACCAACUGGGCCAGUGAGUGGCGUCCUCCACAACUAGACUGAGAACAACGACUCGGAGGUGGGGGGAAGGAAAAACAAGGUCUCCCCACUUUUCCCAUGCUCUAGGCACCAAGUUCCCUCCUUAUAAGUGACCAAAAUGUCCGCAUUAUCUAUUUCUUGAACAUCCUUCCAGGAAUAUGUUAGGCAUAUGCAAAGGUAUAUUUAUGUGCAUGUAAUUUCCCAUCUUUUUCCUCAAAAGGAGGGAGAACUAUCACAGGCUUCUGCACUUUGUAACUUUCCCUUAAUGUCUUAGGAGAUGGCUCUGCGCCAUCCACGCCUACAGAGUGCCUUCAUUUCCGUGUCUCAUAGUAUCCCGUGCAACACAAGGAGCGUGUUUAUCCAGUCCCCUGGGAGGGACACUGACACCUUUUCCAGUGCUUUCCCAUAUCGAACAACUCGCUAGCACUUCCCAUGGAAGUCCUUUCACACAUGUGCGAGCUUAGCCUCAGGACAAGUCCUGGAACUCCCGGGUCAAAGCAUUUGUGCCUUUGUAAUGUGGAUGGCAGUUGUCAAGUGACCCUCCCAACCAGCUGUGUGCCAACUCAGACCCUGCCGGCGACGUAUGACAGAGCUAUUGCCCACAGCCUUGUAGGGUACACUCCUUGCACCCAUCACCAGUUUCCACAGCUCUCUAGCCAUCAUUCCGGGCACAUCUAGACCUUCAUUUGUCCUUGUUCUCCCACAACUAUUGUCAUAAUCUUUAUAGUCCAUGCACUGAAAUGCACAAAUCUUAGCUAAAUUUUGACAAAUGGCUACACCUACGUAGCACACCC